rnacentral:lncRNA from 1 species
AGACAUUUCUACUGGUACCUCACGAAUGAGGGCAUCCAGUACCUCCGAGAUUACCUGCACCUACCUCCGGAGAUCGUGCCCGCCACCCUGCGCCGCAGCCGUCCCGAGACUGGCAGGCCUCGGCCCAAAGGUCCAGAGGGUGAGCGGCCUGCAAGAUUCACAAGAGGGGAGGCAGACAGAGACACCUACAGAAGGAGCGCUGUGCCCCGUGAGUAUCUCCUCCUCUCUGCGUGGGGCUGAACUCAGCUUCUAAGCUAGCCCUGGGUGGAGUGCGGUCCUUGUGCCAAGGUGGCCAGGAGGUCCUUGGUGUGGGACUGAAGGCCUGUAAGCCGGAACACGGCCUAUUGAUAGAGCUGAGCUAACAUCCCUUGGGAGAGCGGGAGCCCAUGCUCUCUGCCGUCCCUGUGGACUCUAGCUUUUGACAAUGCUUGCCUUGAGCCUGCUGUGCGCCAGGCACCUGUGGGGAGCCGAGAACAAGAACAGCCCUGUGAUGCUCUUGUCACUGAGCUUGUAUUUUGUACCCACUGGGGAGGACACUGCAGUUUUCAGGUGCCUUAGAGAAGCAGGCUCACAGAAGUGAGGGUUAGGUGAACACCUAGAAGACCCAGCGGGGCUCUCCAGAGAGACACGGGGAAACCUGGGCUGUGGGGUGGGUGUGCACCAAGCCGUCCUUUUCUGCACUCUGCUUGGAGGUGAACACAGGGCCUAUGGUGUGAAGGAGACAGAGUGGUCUCCAGUUCUGUUGGCCCUGGCUCACCCACUGAUACAAACUGAAUCUGAGUGUAAGCCUACAUCGAGGGAGGUGUUGUUUGGCUGCUGAUGCAUUGCAUUUAGCCCUGAAGUGUUUGAACAUCUCACCUCAUUUCCUUCACUCUUUGACCUCUCACGAUGCUUUCUUAUUCCCGCCUGCGCCAAGCCUUGUGGUUUGGGUCUCGGUGGUCAGAGCAGCUUUUCUGGAGGAGGG